rnacentral:rRNA from 1 species
UACGGGGGGAGCAAGCGUUGUUCGGGUUUACUGGGCGUAAAGGGCGCGUAGGCGGCCAGCACAAGUCAGUUGUGAAAUCUCCGAGCUUAACUCGGAAAGGUCAACUGAUACUGUGCGGCUAGAGUGCGGAAGGGGCAACUGGAAUUCUUGGUGUAGCGGUGAAAUGCGUAGAUAUCAAGAGGAACACCUGCGGCGAAGGCGGGUUGCUGGGCCGACACUGACGCUGAGGCGCGAAAGCCAGGGGAGCGAACGGG